UUUAUUGCAUACGGAUCGGCUCGCGUGCCAUNAGGUAGACGGCGGGGUACGGGCCCACCCGUGCCGACGAUGGUAGGGGUUUUGAGAGGAGUCCCCCCACAUGGGGANUGAGACACGUCCCAGACUCNUACGGGAGGCAGCAGUGAGGNAUANUGGACAAUGGCCGGAAGGCUGAUCCAGCCAUGCCGCGUGCGGGAGGACGGCCCUAUGGGUUGUAAACCGCUUNUGCGAGGGAGCAAUAAGGUUCACGUGUGGGCCGAUGAGAGUACCUCGCGAAUAAGCAUCGGCUAACUCCGUGCCAGCAGCCGCGGUAAUACGGAGGAUGCAAGCGUUAUCCGGAUUUAUUGGGUUUAAAGGGUGCGUAGGCGGUUUGCUAAGCGGGAGGUGAAAUGCCGGCGCUCAACGUCGGAAGUGCCUCCCGAACUGGUGGACUGGAAUGACUCUGCCGUGGGAGGAAUGUGUAGUGUAGCGGUGAAAUGCUUAGAGAUUACACAGAACACCGAUUGCGAAGGCAUCUCACGAAGGGUUGAUUGACGCUGAGGCACGAAAGCGUGGGGAUCAAACA
rnacentral:rRNA from 1 species